AGAACGAACGCUGGCGGCAUGCCUAAUACAUGCAAGUCGAACGAACUCUUCGGAGUUAGUGGCGCACGGGUGCGUAACGCGUGGGGAAUCUGCCCUUGGGUUCGGAAUAACAGUUGGAAACGACUGCUAAUACCGGAUGAUGACGAAAGUCCAAGAUUUAUCGCCCAGGGAUGAGCCCGGCGUAGGAUUAGCUUAGUUGGUGAGGUAAGCUCACCAAGGCGACGAUCCGUUAGCGUGGUCUGAGGAGUAUGAUCAGCCACUACUGGGACUGACGACACCGGCCAGCUCCGUACGGAGCAGCGAGUAGGGAAUAUGGACAGUGGGACGAAGCCUAG
rnacentral:rRNA from 1 species